AAGUUUCCCGUAGGUGAACCUGCGGAAGGAUCAUUG
rnacentral:rRNA from 1 species